GUAAAAGAAACUCCGGUGCGAGACCACAGCCAAAGGCGGGAAGAGGUCCCGGAUGUGCAUUGUCGUUCUUUCUUCGUGACAGAAAUUUCACAGGCAGACAUGGUACGAAUAUGUAAUGAACAGAUUAUGGACGGUCAAUACUUCUCAAGCUUCUGAAUCGUUUGGAUAUGAAAAUUAUCGUGCUGAAGAUAUUUAUACGUGUCUGGGGGAUCCUACCAGACAACUUGUAUAACCAAUCAGAAACCAGUCUGCGAUUCUCCGCCAAUCAACGAUCAAAUUGGCGUGUUGCUUUCUACCACGUCCGUAAUAGGGAUGUCUGAAUCUUAAUUUGCAUACGGCAGCAUAUAUAAACAUGUUAUGGUGGGUCCGGUGAGGCCGGAGUUGCGUCCUUGACUGGUUUGCGUGGGGUGCGGAUCCAUUGUGUACAGGUGUGAGUUGGACUGUCAGGUUGACUGAGGGACGACGGGACGCUAGAUUCUUGGUCGUUUUGUUAGCAGUGUCUUGUGCUAAGGAUGGAGACACCAUCGGAGAUGUCGGGAUAUGUGCACAACGUGUCGCCAAUGAAAGACGGGGCAAAGUCAAAGUUUUUCCGGUUUGAUUUUCAAACUUCAGAAGACGAGUCUAGGAAAGGAAUCUGUUUUAGUCCUCAGAAGAGGAGUUUCUUUUGUGAGAAAGAACAGAGCAGCAGCCCAUGCAAAAUCAGUAAAGUGAGCAGUUGUUCGAUGAGAUCAAGCGACUUUGUGGUUAAUGAGAAGAGUUCCGUGGAGUCGACAGCAGAUGUGGGAUUUCCAGCAAAACGACCUAGUAUUAGGUCUGUAAGUGUUAAGGACAUUAGCUACCUCUCUGUGAAUGAUGUUGUAAGAGUCAAUGUGAAGGUGCUUUCCAUUGAUAAAACAGAGAAAGUUACAGUUAACUCAGGUGAUGAGCGAGAGAAGACAGAUGUUAUCGUAGGUGACACAAGUGGAGCUGUUCGCUUGUGUGUUUGGCAGCCACAUGUGUUAGAGUUAGGGCGUAGCUAUGGUGUGGACGCUAAAGUUAAGUUGUUUGCCAGAAGACGAUUUCUGAGCACGUUUCCUGAGUCAGUGGUGAACGAAGUAGGUCCUAUAUAUGCCCCAGAUGGGAUUCAACAGAUAGACCAGGUCAGAGCAACCGGUACAAUCAUUGGAAGUCAAGUACUUAGCAGGUUUUACAAAUGUAACUCAUGUAAAAGGAAGAUCGAUCCGACAGAAACAAAGUUUCUGUGUUGCCCUCACUGCAACA